rnacentral:rRNA from 1 species
GACGAACGCUGGCGGCGUGCUUAACACAUGCAAGUCGAGCGGUAAGGCCUCUUCGGGGGUACACGAGCGGCGAACGGGUGAGUAACACGUGAGUAAUCUGCCCUUCACUUCGGGAUAACCAUCGGAAACGGUGGCUAAUACGGGAUAUGACUCGUCCCUGCAUGGGGGUGGGUGGAAAGGUUUUUCGGUGGAGGAUGUGCUCGCCGGCUAUCAGCUUGUUGGUGAGGGAACGGCUCGCGAAGGCUUCGACGGGUAGCCGGACGGAGAGGGUGGCCGUCCACACUGGGACUGAGACACGGCGCAGACUCCUACGGGAGGAAACAGUGGGGAAUAUUGGACAAUGGGCGGAAGCCUGAGCCAGCAACGCCGCGUGAGGGAUGGCGGCCUUCGGGUUGUAAACCUCUUUCAGCUCCGACGAAGCGCCCGUGAGGGUGGUGACGGUAGGUGCAGAAGAAGGACCGGCCAACUACGUGCCAGCCGCCGCGGUAACAC